UUCCUGGAGCAGACAGGCAAUUUUAGUGCCUUCCAUUGGAAUGUUGAGCCAAAUGUGACAUAUUUACAGUUACUUCUUCGAUAUACAUAUGCUGGGCAGCUGUGGGCACACGCUCUUUUGCUGAUCUCCGCUAUCGCACUUUCCAGUUUCCAGUCCUCAAAUGAGUGAGUGUGUGUGUGGGUAUGUGCAUGUGAGUGCGUGUGUGUAUGUGUGUGUGUUUCUUCUUGUAUUGUAUUCGCUGCCUUCCUUGUUGUGUGACUACGUUCAACGACUUCUUCAGCUGGGUAUUUUAUUUUGAUUAGAGAUUUCGUUUCGCUUAAGCUUAGUCGCGCUCAUCGAGCUCCCCCAUCGAAAGGCAAACUAGAAAAGUGUUCAGUGUGCGGUGCUAAAUCAAAAGACUUGCUAUAUAAAUACAUUUGUUCCAUAUACAUAUGUACACAUGUACAUAUAAAUCAAUGUAAAAUAUAGUUCAGGGCUUCGGCUAAUUAGACCAACGAACGAGCGUCUCGACUUAAUGCUCUCUCAGCAGCAUGACACAAAGAAACCAAUUGAAUACAAAACUGCAAUAAGCUGAUUACUACCAACAACUAAUAUAACUGACCCAAUUUGGGUUCGCCGUGUGUUGCCAGCUGAUAUAGACAGAUUUUUUUAGGCUGAAUUUCCGCAUUAUCUGAAAUUCCUCCUGCGAUGAGAACAUAACACAAUUCAAUCUAGCGUUGUCAGUGCAAGUGCAAAAAUUAUAUA